rnacentral:rRNA from 1 species
UUGAUCCCAUGGCUCAGAUUGAACGCUGGCGGCAGGCCUAACACAUGCAAGUCGAGCGGCAGCACGGGUACUUGUACCUGGUGGCGAGCGGCGGACGGGUGAGUAAUGCCUAGGAAUCUGCCUGGUAGUGGGGGAUAACGCUCGGAAACGGACGCUAAUACCGCAUACGUCCUACGGGAGAAAGCAGGGGACCUUCGGGCCUUGCGCUAUCAGAUGAGCCUAGGUCGGAUUAGCUAGUUGGUGAGGUAAUGGCUCACCAAGGCGACGAUCCGUAACUGGUCUGAGAGGAUGAUCAGUCACACUGGAACUGAGACACGGUCCAGACUCCUACGGGAGGCAGCAGUGGGGAAUAUUGGACAAUGGGCGAAAGCCUGAUCCAGCCAUGCCGCGUGUGUGAAGAAGGUCUUCGGAUUGUAAAGCACUUUAAGUUGGGAGGAAGGGCAGUUACCUAAUACGUAUCUGUUUUGACGUUACCGACAGAAUAAGCACCGGCUAACU